rnacentral:rRNA from 1 species
AUACGGAGGAUCCGAGCGUUAUCCGGAUUUAUUGGGUUUAAAGGGAGCGUAGGCGGACGCUUAAGUCAGUUGUGAAAGUUUGCGGCUCAACCGUAAAAUUGCAGUUGAUACUGGGUGUCUUGAGUACAGUAGAGGCAGGCGGAAUUCGUGGUGUAGCGGUGAAAUGCUUAGAUAUCACGAAGAACUCCGAUUGCGAAGGCAGCUUGCUGGACUGUAACUGACGCUGAUGCUCGAAAGUGUGGGUAUCAAACAGGAUUAGAUACCCUGGUAGUCCACACAGUAAACGAUGAAUACUCGCUGUUUGCGAUAUACAGUAAGCGGCCAAGCGAAAGCGUUAAGUAUUCCACCUGGGGAGUACGCCGGCAACGGUGAAACUCAAAUGAAUUGACGGGG